UGGGGAAUUUUUCGCAAUGGGCGCAAGCCUGAUCCAGCAAUGCCGCGUGAGUGAGGAAGGCCUUAGGGUUGUAAAGCUCUUUCACCCGCGACGAUGAUGACGGUAGCGGGAGAAGAAGCCCCGGCUAACUUCGUGCCAGCAGCCGCGGUAAUACGAAGGGGGCGAGCGUUGUUCGGAUUUACUGGGCGUAAAGGGCGCGCAGGCGGCUUUGUUUGUCAGGCGUGAAAGCCCCGGGCUUAACCUGGGAACUGCGCUUGAUACGGCAGGGCUAGAGUUCGGGAGAGGAGCGUGGAAUUCCCAGUGUAGAGGUGAAAUUCGUAGAUAUUGGGAAGAACACCGGUGGCGAAGGCGGCGCUCUGGACCGAGACUGACGCUGAGGCGCGAAAGCGUGGGGAGCAAACAGGAUUAGAUACCCUGGUAGUCCACGCUGUAAACGAUGUGUGCUAGACGUUGGGGAGCCUAGCUCUUCGGUGUCGCAGCUAACGCGGUAAGCACACCGCCUGGGGAGUACGGCCGCAAGGUUAA
rnacentral:rRNA from 1 species